rnacentral:lncRNA from 1 species
CGAGGCGAGCGCUUGCCGGCUUCAGGUUGUUAGCUCUCCUUCAAUGGCAACUUCCCCGAGGGAGGUUAGCUUUGGGAGUUGCUGUUGAGUUGUAAUAAGGUGACUGUCCUGUAGUACAUGUAACGUGUGUUUCCGUUGUAACUGUAGAACCUAGUCUUGAGGACUGCUAGCUAGCUAGUCCUAAGGAACCUCCUUGAUCUAUGUCCCAUCGCCCCUGUAUUCAUUGAAUGUUCCCCAUGAGCGCUAUGUCCUUCUAAAGUUUAGAAACAGCGUCAUAUUUUCUCAGUUUUGCAUUCCAAACUAUAUUGUUCGAAUAUAUACGCUUACAGAAUAACAUACCUGUUUCCUUAGUUCAGGACCGACAACGAGUAUAUAUAUACAUCUUGUUCUGUGUUCAAAUGUACAUGCAAACAUUUGGUCUCCAUCUCGGUUGGCUGCAGUGUUCUUCUCCCUUCCUUCCCCGGCCCUUCAUGUCAUGCAUACAACAUUCAUCGCUGAGGAAUGUACUGACUGAUUCGCCGCAUUGACUAUCCAACUGACCAGAUGAAGAGCUCGAAGGCAGAUGUCGCGACACCGCCCUGCUUCUUUCUAUCUAGCCUAACCUGACCAUCUUCAUCUUGCUUUGUUGUUUCUUCUAGGUCUGGUUAUUUCUCAGUGAAUACGGUAAGAGCAGCGAUCUCCCGUACGCGACAGGGAGCGCCAGCACCUUCUUCACCUUCCCAACAUAGGCCCUCCUGGUGAAGUUGUUGUAGUCGUUCGCUUCGAUCUCGUCGAGGAUCUGCCGGUAUAGCAACAGAGAGGCCCAAACCUGCAAUGCAAUGCAAAACCAUAUUAUCACUCUACUGAUACUUCUUCCAUUUGAGCCCCUAAUUUUUNNNNNNNNNNCGACCCCCCCAUAAACUACACAUAGCUUCAUUUUUGCUACUGAUAAUUAACAAUGAUGAGAUCUAUAUGUAGUUUUGUUUCACAUUCAAGUCGUGGCUUUAGGGCACUUACUGGCCACCGGCUCUCCUUCCUGAGCUCGGUUACCCCUCGCUCCGCCUCCUCGAAGAACAUCCUCGCCCUCUUGAUCUGCCUCUUCAUGAAUUUCCUCCACUUGUCGGUGACGACCCCUUUGAAGAUGUCUUCAUCGGAGAGCUCUGCCUCUGCGAGCUCGUCUUGCGGCAAAUAUAUCCUUCCUCUUCUUGCACUGGGAAAUUAUUCGAAACACCAGAACAUUCAGGAUAGUGCUAUCUCAAAAUGUCCAUAUCAUGAUUGUACAACGAAAAACCAUUGCACUGUAUUGGUAGUGAGUGAGUGGCUUACUCUUCUCCGACAUCCCUGAGUAUGUUGGUGAGCUGGUUCGCGAGCCCGAGAGCCAGAGCGGCGCCAUAGACGCUCUCAGCCGUCGCCUUGGACUCAGGCGCAAUGCCCAUCACCGGGACACUCAUCAGCCCCACGGUGCCCGCAACAUAGUAGCAGUACAUGUAGAGCUCGUCAAAGUUCUUGUACCUCGCCUUCUUGAGGUCCGUCCGCAUCCCGUCGAUCAUGUCCUUGUCCUUACUACUGUACUAUAUAUACAUCUAAACACACCGUGAAAAUUGGAAAGCAGUACACAAAGCACCAAGGCUAGCUAGCAAUUAGCCAGCUUGGGCUUAGCUUCUAGCCGGCUACCCAUCGUGUACAUACGUACGCUUCGUCGCCAUUGCCGCACGUACUCGUCAGAUUGGGCCAACAGCAGCUGCCAAGCUCGGAGAGAAAAACCUAGCUAGCGGCCAGCAUGGCACCAGGACCGCUGCCGGAGUAUCAUUUGAGAAAAAAAGGACCGCCGCCGGCCCUCCCGGACGAGCUCGUAGGAGAGAUCCUGCUCUGCAUCCCGCCCGACGACCCCGCCAGCCUCCUCCGUGCGUACCUCGUCUGCAAGUCCUGGAGCGAGGCCGUCUCCCAACGCUGGUUCCGGCGCAGCUUUCACAAUCUUCAUCCAUCACCCACCGUGCUCGGGGUUCUUCAUGACUGGCACGAUGAGGCCAUCCCUACCUUCAUCCCAGCCACCGCGUCGCCGUUCUCCCUCGCCGCCCCCGACCGCUUGCUCUGGCAGGCCGUCGACCGUCGACAAUUAGGGAAGGCAACCAGGGUGUGUGAUGAUCAUGGAUACGGUAAGCUGAUUCCGAUCGUCGGCCUUUACACUCCUAUGCCCCGAGGUGAGCACAUCAGAAAAUUGUCGGCUUCGAGUGGUCAGCUCUCCAUCAAUGGAAACUUCCCUGAGGGAGGUUAGGUUUGGGUAUUUAGCUUGUGCCCAUGGGAUGGUUGAUCCAGCUUGAAAUGCAUCACUACCACCUGUCAAAGACAAUUCAUGUUCUGCAUACAUCAUACGCCUCCAAGGACUAGCUAUCAGACAUGUGUACAUGAGUUAAUUUGGAAGUGUGAGGCACGGGGGGCAUAUAGGCCUAGGGCGGGGAUUUUUUUUCAAUGUUUCAACAGAUUUGUAUAAGGGUAGUGGAAAAAGAUUGUCGGCGUGGACCUUUCAAGCUUUUUUUUUUUGCGGGGAUGGACCUUUCAAGCUGUACUCUCAUAUAUAAUAAUAAGACAUAUGACCAGGCCUUGUACACAAUUUAAAUCCCUAGAUUCCCUUUUGUGAAUAUUGGAACUUGUAAAGGAAUUAUUUUUCUUAUGUCGGCAUAGAACUUUCAGGCUUGUAACAUAAAAGGAGAUAUAUGGCCAGGCGUUGUCCACCAUUUUAAUCUGUGUAGGUUCCCCUUAAAUUUUAGAACCACGAUUUGGCAUCGUUAGGUUGAAACAACGUAUUAAACGUUCCCAUGAAGUUUAUGUUUACCUUUUUUGUUAGGUUUGUGUGGCCAUCACGACAUCAUGCCAACGGCGAACGAAGCAUUGUACAAAAUAAACAUUUCAUGAUUCUUUGAUCUUGUGUGGAUGCCGCAUUCUAUCUUUAUAUAGUCGUUCUUCUGGCUUCUAUUUCCAUGUGUUUGGUGUUCUUUCUGGUUUGGCAGCUUACCUUGCGACGGUUGCAACCAAAGAUUUUAUGUUCCCACUCCUUGAGGUGGGAGGCACAUGAGGUUCUUUGAAAGCCUCGGAAGAGGUGUAUUUGACAAAUUUAGGUUCUCACUCUUUUGAUGAAGGCGCUGGCUACGACCUAUAUGCCCACGUCGGCAUGCGUCUACUCAUCCGAGACUGGCGCCUGGGGCCAGCCGACCUUAAUGCGCGAUAGAUUCCUCAUGGACUUUGAAUACUUUUCGAGCGUGCUUGUUGGGAGGUCUUUCUUGUACUUCAUGACAUGUGGUGGGUUUAUCCUAGAGUAUGACCUGGCAAGGCAUGGACUGACUUGGUUCGACACACCAGACUCUUGCAACUCUAAGGGUGAACCCACUUGCAACCUCAUGCUGGCGGAGGAAGGUGGACUAGGACUCGCCGAAGAACUGGAUCCGCAUCUGCAAUUGUGGUCAUGGGAGGUGAAGGAUGCCCGAUGGGUGCCUGGCCGAAUCAUCUACCUGGAAAGUUUGUCCCUAGUAAAUGGUGCUCCACUUGGUGCAAAAUGUCCGGUGCAUGUGUUGGGCUUUGCCGAGGGAGCAAAUGUCAUUUUCGUGACCACCGCUGCAGGCCUCUUCGCAAUCCAAGUACAAUCAGUGCAGGCGACCAGGGUGUGCGAUGAUCAUGGAUAUGGUAAGCUGAUUCUGAUCGUCGGCCUUUACACUCCUAUGCCCCGAGGCGAGCGCUUGCCGGCUUCAGGUUGUUAGCUCUCCUUCAAUGGCAACUUCCCCGAGGGAGGUUAGCUUUGGGAGUUGCUGUUGAGUUGUAAUAAGGUGACUGUCCUGUAGUACAUGUAACGUGUGUUUCCGUUGUAACUGUAGAACCUAGUCUUGAGGACUGCUAGCUAGCUAGUCCUAAGGAACCUCCUUGAUCUAUGUCCCAUCGCCCCUGUAUUCAUUGAAUGUUCCCCAUGAGCGCUAUGUCCUUCUAAAGUUUAGAAACAGCGUCAUAUUUUCUCAGUUUUGCAUUCCAAACUAUAUUGUUCGAAUAUAUACGCUUACAGAAUAACAUACCUGUUUCCUUAGUUCAGGACCGACAACGAGUAUAUAUAUACAUCUUGUUCUGUGUUCAAAUGUACAUGCAAACAUUUGGUCUCCAUCUCGGUUGGCUGCAGUGUUCUUCUCCCUUCCUUCCCCGGCCCUUCAUGUCAUGCAUACAACAUUCAUCGCUGAGGAAUGUACUGACUGAUUCGCCGCAUUGACUAUCCAACUGACCAGAUGAAGAGCUCGAAGGCAGAUGUCGCGACACCGCCCUGCUUCUUUCUAUCUAGCCUAACCUGACCAUCUUCAUCUUGCUUUGUUGUUUCUUCUAGGUCUGGUUAUUUCUCAGUGAAUACGGUAAGAGCAGCGAUCUCCCGUACGCGACAGGGAGCGCCAGCACCUUCUUCACCUUCCCAACAUAGGCCCUCCUGGUGAAGUUGUUGUAGUCGUUCGCUUCGAUCUCGUCGAGGAUCUGCCGGUAUAGCAACAGAGAGGCCCAAACCUGCAAUGCAAUGCAAAACCAUAUUAUCACUCUACUGAUACUUCUUCCAUUUGAGCCCCUAAUUUUUN